rnacentral:rRNA from 1 species
UACGAAGGGGGCUAGCGUUGUUCGGAAUUACUGGGCGUAAAGGGCGCGUAGGCGGUGCCUCAAGUCAGGCGUGAAAGCCCCGGGCUCAACCUGGGAACCGCGCUUGAGACUGGAGUACUAGAGUUCGGGAGAGGAUGGUGGAAUUCCCAGUGUAGAGGUGAAAUGCGCAGAUAUCAGGAAGAACACCUAUGGCGAAGGCAGCUCUCUGGGACGGUACUGACGCUGAGACGCGAAAGCGUGGGGAGCGAACAGG